UGGCUCGGUUGGUAGAGCAUGGUGUGUGCAACGCCAGGGUUGUGGGUUCGAUUCCCAC
rnacentral:tRNA from 1 species